rnacentral:lncRNA from 1 species
GUUCAAAAGCUGUCAAAAUAAAAUGGUGAAUUGAGUUUAAACCAGAAAAGAUAUAAACGUAAUCUUUGGGAUUCAACUUGUAAGGAUGUUCCAAGAACCACUUAGUUGGAGAAGGAAAACUGUGCCGUUCAUUAACAAGUCCUGUGCUUUAUAAUAUAUUAAAAAAUGAAAGGACGUGAAGAAAACAGGUUUGUAAAUGAUGUUGUACAUCAUGCAGAUAGCUCAGAAGAAGAAGCAGGAAUGUUUGACUGGAAAUAUAAACGAUGUUGUACAUAAUGCAGAUAGCUUAGGCAAAAAAGAGAUUGGUGAAAUGGAGAAUGAGACUAACGAGGGUGAAAAAAAAAUGAAUAUUAAUAUGUGAAUGGUACUUUGUUUAACAUCUACCUGUUUCUACAGAUACACUUCAGACACAUUUAUAAAUGGGCUUGAUGUUUUUUUGAA